rnacentral:rRNA from 1 species
GACGAACGCUGGCGGCGUGCUUAACACAUGCAAGUCGAACGGAAAGGCCCUGCUUUUGUGGGGUGCUCGAGUGGCGAACGGGUGAGUAACACGUGAGUAACCUGCCCUUGACUUUGGGAUAACUUCAGGAAACUGGGGCUAAUACCGGAUAGGAGCUCCUGCUGCCUGGUGGGGGUUGGAAAGUUUCGGCGGUUGGGGAUGGACUCGCGGCUUAUCAGCUUGUUGGUGGGGUAGUGGCUUACCAAGGCUUUGACGGGUCGCCGGCCUGGGAGGGUGACCGGCCACAAUGGGACUGAGAUACGGCCCAGACUCCUACGGGAGGCAGAAGUGGGGAAUAUUGCACAAUGGGCGGAAGCCUGAUGCAGCAACGCCGCGUGCGGGAUGACGGCCUUCGGGGUGUAAACCGCUUUCGCCUGUGACGAAGCGUGAGUGACGGUAAUGGGUAAAGAAGCACCGGCUAACUACGUG